GUGGUAGAUUAGCUGGUAAAUCGCCAGACUCGUAAUCCAGUUGUCACGUGUUCGAUACCUGUCCGGACCA